UGUUGAAAUAGUCACUACGGUGUUGGCUCGGCUCACUCAGACGUGACUUAUUGCAAGCUCACGUGCCGUAAAGGCGAUGUGUUCGGACUUGGUUCGAGUCUUUGAUUGAGCCGUGCCAAUAUCUUAGUGUUUUUUUCACUUACG
rnacentral:pre_miRNA from 1 species